GAUGAACGCUGGCGGCGUGCCUAAUACAUGCAAGUCGAGCGAACAGACGAGGAGCUUGCUCCUCUGACGUUAGCGGCGGACGGGUGAGUAACACGUGGAUAACCUACCUAUAAGACUGGGAUAACUUCGGGAAACCGGAGCUAAUACCGGAUAAUAUAUUGAACCGCAUGGUUCAAUAGUGAAAGACGGUUUUGCUGUCACUUAUAGAUGGAUCCGCGCCGCAUUAGCUAGUUGGUAAGGUAACGGCUUACCAAGGCGACGAUGCGUAGCCGACCUGAGAGGGUGAUCGCCCACACUGGAACUGAGACCCGGUCCAGACUCCUACGGGAGGCAGCAGUAGGGAAUCUUCCGCAAUGGGCGAAAGCCUGACGGAGCAACGCCGCGUGAGUGAUGAAGGUCUUCGGAUCGUAAAACUCUGUUAUUAGGGAAGAACAAAUGUGUAAGUAACUAUGCACGUCUUGACGGUACCUAAUCAGAAAGCCACGGCUAACUACGUG
rnacentral:rRNA from 1 species